rnacentral:rRNA from 1 species
GAUGAACGCUGGCGGCGUGCCUAAUACAUGCAAGUCGAGCGAACGGACGAGAAGCUUGCUUCUCUGAUGUUAGCGGCGGACGGGUGAGUAACACGUGGAUAACCUACCUAUAAGACUGGGAUAACUUCGGGAAACCGGAGCUAAUACCGGAUAAUAUUUUGAACCGCAUGGUUCAAAAGUGAAAGACGGUCUUGCUGUCACUUAUAGAUGGAUCCGCGCUGCAUUAGCUAGUUGGUAAGGUAACGGCUUACCAAGGCAACGAUGCAUAGCCGACCUGAGAGGGCGAUCGGCCACACUGGAACUGAGACACGGUCCAGACUCCUACGUGAGGCAGCAGUAGGGAAUCUUCCGCAAUGGGCGAAAGCCUGACGGAGCAACGCCGCGUGAGUGAUGAAGGUCUUCGGAUCGUAAAACUCUGUUAUUAGGGAAGAACAUAUGUGUAAGUAACUGUGCACAUCUUGACGGUACCUAAUCAGAAAGCCACGGCUAACUACGUG